AUUGAACGCUGGCGGAAUGCUUUACACAUGCAAGUCGAACGGCAGCACGGACUUCGGUCUGGUGGCGAGUGGCGAACAGGUGAGUAAUGUAUCGGAACGUGCCCAGUCGGGGGGGAUAACGUAGUGAAAAUUACGCUAAUACCGCAUACGAUCUAUGGAUGAAAGCGGGGGAACGCAAGACCUCGCGCGAUUGGAGCGGCCGAUAUCAGAUUAGGUAGUUGGUGGGGUAAAGGCCCACCAAGCCAACGAUCUGUAGCUGGUCUGAGAGGACGACCAGCCACACUGGAACUGAGACACGGUCCAGACUCCUACGGGAGGCAGCAGUGGGGAAUUUUGGACAAUGGGCGAAAGCCUGAUCCAGCCAUUCCGCGUGCAGGAUGAAGGCCCUCGGGUUGUAAACUGCUUUUGUACAGAACGAAAAGGUUUCUACUAAUACUAGGAGCUCAUGACGGUACUGUAAGAAUAAGCACCGGCUAACUACGUGCCAGCAGCCGCAGUAA
rnacentral:rRNA from 1 species